rnacentral:rRNA from 1 species
CAGCCGCCGCGGGAAUACGUAGGGUGCAAGCGUUAAUCGGAAUUACUGGGCGUAAAGCGUGCGCAGGCGGUUUGUUAAGACAGAUGUGAAAUCCCCGGGCUCAACCUGGGAACUGCAUUUGUGACUGGCAAGCUAGAGUCUGGCAGAGGGGGGUGGAAUUCCGCGUGUAGCAGUGAAAUGCGUAGAUAUGCGGAGGAACACCGAUGGCGAAGGCAGCCCCCUGGGCCAACACUGACGCUCAUGCACGAAAGCGCGGGGAGCAAACAGGAUUAGAUACCCCAGUAGUCCCUGUCUCUUAUAA